rnacentral:rRNA from 1 species
UACGUAGGGUGCAAGCGUUGUCCGGAAUCACUGGGCGUAAAGGGCGCGUAGGUGGUUUGAUAAGGGUGUGGUGAAAGUCCGGAGCUCAACUCCGGAUCUGCCGUGCCGACUGUCAAACUCGAGGGCUGUAGAGGCAGACGGAAUUCCGGGUGUAGCGGUGGAAUGCGCAGAUAUCAGGAGGAACACCGGUGGCGAAGGCGGGUCUCUGGGCAGUAACUGACGCUGAGGAGCGAAAGCGUGGGGAGCGAACAGG